rnacentral:rRNA from 1 species
UACGUAGGGGGCAAGCGUUGUCCGGAAUCAUUGGGCGUAAAGAGCGUGUAGGCGGUCCGGUCAGUCGGUUGUGAAAGUCAAGGGCUCAACCCUUGAAUGCCGGCCGAUACUGCCGGGCUAGAGUCCGGAAGAGGUGAGUGGAAUUCCUGGUGUAGCGGUGAAAUGCGCAGAUAUCAGGAGGAACACCGAUGGCGAAGGCAGGUCUCUGGGCCAUAACUGACGCUGAGAAGCGAAAAGCAUGGGGAGCGAACAGG